UACGUAGGGACCGAGCGUUGUCCGGAUUCAUUGGGGCGUAAAGAGCUCGUAGGCGGCUGUUCAAGUCGAACGUGAAAACUCGGGGGCUCAACUCCGAGCCUGCGUUCGAUACUGGACGGCUAGAGUCUGGUAGGGGGAUCUGGAAUUCCUGGUGUGAGCGGUGGAAUGCGCAGAUAUCAGGAGGAACACCGGUGGCGAAGGCGGGAUCCUGGACCAUGGACUGACGCUGAGGAGCGAAAGCCAGGGGAGCAAACGGG
rnacentral:rRNA from 1 species